rnacentral:rRNA from 1 species
GACGAACGCUGGCGGCGUGCUUAACACAUGCAAGUCGAACGGAAAGGCCCUGCUUUUGCGGGGUGCUCGAGUGGCGAACGGGUGAGUAACACGUGAGUAACCUGCCCUUGACUUUGGGAUAACUUCAGGAAACUGGGGCUAAUACCGGAUAGGAGCUCCUGCUGCAUGGUGGGGGUUGGAAAGUUUCGGCGGUUGGGGAUGGACUCGCGGCUUAUCAGCUUGUUGGUGGGGUAGUGGCUUACCAAGGCUUUGACGGGUAGCCGGCCUGAGAGGGUGACCGGCCACAUUGGGACUGAGAUACGGCCCAGACUCCUACGGGAGGCAGCAGUGGGGAAUAUUGCACAAUGGGCGGAAGCCUGAUGCAGCAACGCCGCGUGCGGGAUGAAGGCCUUCGGGUUGUAAACCGCUUUCGCCUGUGACGAAGCGUGAGUGACGGUAAUGGGUAAAGAAGCACCGGCUAACUACGUG